rnacentral:rRNA from 1 species
UACAGGGGGUGCGAGCGUUGUCCGGAAUCACUGGGCGUAAAGGGCGCGUAGGUGGCGCGACAAGUCAGUGGUGAAAGCUCGACGCUCAACGUCGAGUCGGCCACUGAGACUGUUGGGCUUGAGCACUGUAGAGGCUAAUGGAAUUCCGGGUGUAGCGGUGGAAUGCGUAGAGAUCCGGAAGAACACCGGUGGCGAAGGCGGUUAGCUGGGCAGUUGCUGACACUGAGGCGCGAAAGCGUGGGGAGCGAACAGG